UCAGCCAGGAGAUUGCAAUCAGCAAGAUUCACCGAGUGAACACUUUGUUCUCUGCUGUGAGGAGUACUCACAGUUCUCAUCUGUCCUACCACCUGCGUCCCCCUCCUGCCUUGCCUUCAUAACUCCUAAGCACCACGCCAGUGCUAUGAACUGAUGUGCGGCAGCCCCGAGAAGAAGACGAUACGUUUUAAUGUGCUCGUUCAUAGAAGCGCCCAGCUGCAGAUGGCCAGGUGUUCUCUCUGUGGUCUGAACUGGGAAGCCAUUCUUCCACUGUCUCUUCCCAAGAAGAACGUCCCUCCGGUCCUCAGUGCAGAAGCAUCUUUCACAGAAAUAGGAUUAGCUGCAAGGACCCCAGAAGGUGAGGCAAAUACAGAUUGGGGUGCUACAGUCUGAUUAUAUUAGAGCACACCUUGUACCAGUUCCCUGUGCUGGGUGAUGGGAUUAUUGUUGUGGUCAAUAUUGGUCCCAAACUCACUAAAGAGAAAGAAUGAAACAGGAACAAACUGAUCUGUUGACCAAGUGCUGCUGCCUAUUGUCUUCAACAAAUGGUGCUGGCAUAACGGGAUGUCAACAUGUAGAAGACUGCAAAUAGAUCCAUAUCUGUCACCAUGCACAAAACCUAAGUCCAAGUGGAUCAAAGACCUCAACGUAAAUCUGGUUACCUUGAACCUGAUAGAAGAGAAAGUAAGAAGUGUCUUAAAUGCAUUGGCACUGGAGAUCACUUCCUAAACAUAACACCAGUAGCACAGACACUGAGAGCAACAAUUAAUAAAUGGGACCUCUUGAAGCCUAUUGUCUUAAAUAUUCAACAAAUGACCCUGUGUCCAUUUUGUAUCUCACCAUUGUGACAAAAUGCCUAAUAAGAGCAGCUCACGAGUGAAAGGGUUGGUUCUGGCUCAUGGUUUAAGGUGUAGGUCAGCAUGUGAUAAGAGGCUCUAGCUGAGGAAGCAGGAGGAUGAGAUGGCUGAUCGCAUUGCACUCACAACCAAGAAGCAGAGAGAGAGAUGGAUGGUGGCACUCCUCUCACUCCAUCCUUCUUUAAUUCAAUAUGGGGCUCUCACCUAUGGGAAGCCCCAUGUUCAGGAUGCAAUUCUUUUCCUUAGUAAAACAUCACUAGGAAUUCCCUCACAGACAGAUGCUGUGGAAUAUUUCUUUACACUGUGUGAAUAUAUAUCACUGUGGUUGGUUUAAUAAAGAAGCUGACUGGCCAAUAGCUGAAGAGAAUAAGCUUGGGCGGGAAGUAUAGACGGGGCAACCAAACUAAAGAUGCUGGGAGGGAGAAGGGCAGAGUUGCCAGCCCAAUGCAGAGGGAGCAGGAGAUGAACAUGCCAUGUUAAUAAAAGUACUGCCAUGUGGCAGAGUGUAAAUAAGGAAUAUGGGUUAACUUAAAAUGAAAGAGCUAGUUAGUAACAAGCCUGAGCUGUUGACUGAGCAUUUAUAAUUAACAUUAAGUCACUUUGUUGGUUAUUUGGGAACUGGCAGACAGUAUAGAAACUUCUGCCUAUAGACAGACCCAGAGGUAUGU